rnacentral:siRNA from 1 species
CACAAAUCCGCGUUUACUGUACC